UACACUCCUACGGGAGGCAGCAGUGGGGAAUAUUGGACAAUGGGCGCAAGCCUGAUCCAGCCAUGCCGCGUGAGUGAUGAAGGCCCUAGGGUUGUAAAGCUCUUUCACCGGUGAAGAUAAUGACGGUAACCGGAGAAGAAGCCCCGGCUAACUUCGUGCCAGCAGCCGCGGUAAUACGAAGGGGGCUAGCGUUGUUCGGAUUUAUUGGGCGUAAAGCGCACGUAGGCGGACUAUUAAGUCAGGGGUGAAAUCCCGGGGCUCAACCCCGGAACUGCCUUUGAUACUGGUAGUCUUGAGUUCGAGAGAGGUGAGUGGAAUUCCGAGUGUAGAGGUGAAAUUCGUAGAUAUUCGGAGGAACACCAGUGGCGAAGGCGGCUCACUGGCUCGAUACUGACGCUGAGGUGCGAAAGCGUGGGGAGCAAACAGGAUUAGAUACCCCAGUAGUCCCA
rnacentral:rRNA from 1 species